UUAAGCGACUAAGCGUACACGGUGGAUGCCCUGGCAGUCAGAGGCGAUGAAGGACGUGCUAAUCUGCGAUAAGCGUCGGUAAGGUGAUAUGAACCGUUAUAACCGGCGAUUUCCGAAUGGGGAAACCCAGUGCAAUUCGUUGCACUAUUAUUACGUGAAUACAUAGCGUAAUGAAGCGAACCGGGGGAACUGAAACAUCUAAGUACCCCGAGGAAAAGAAAUCAACCGAGAUUCCCCCAGUAGCGGCGAGCGAACGGGGAGCAGCCCAGAGUCUGAAUCAGCUUGUGUGUUAGUGGAACGGUCUGGAAAGUCCGACGGUACAGGGUGAUAGUCCCGUACACCAAAAUGCACAGGUUGUGAACUCGAAGAGUAGGGCGGGACACGUGGUAUCCUGUCUGAAUAUGGGGGGACCAUCCUCCAAGGCUAAAUACUCCUGACUGACCGAUAGUGAACCAGUACCGUGAGGGAAAGGCGAAAAGAACCCCGGCGAGGGGAGUGAAAAAGAACCUGAAACCGUGUACGUACAAGCAGUGGGAGCCUCUUUAUGGGGUGACUGCGUACCUUUUGUAUAAUGGGUCAGCGACUUAUAUUCUGUAGCAAGGUUAACCGAAUAGGGGAGCCGAAGGGAAACCGAGUCUUAACUGGGCGUUAAGUUGCAGGGUAUAGACCCGAAACCCGGUGAUCUAGCCAUGGGCAGGUUGAAGGUUGGGUAACACUAACUGGAGGACCGAACCGACUAAUGUUGAAAAAUUAGCGGAUGACUUGUGGCUGGGGGUGAAAGGCCAAUCAAACCGGGAGAUAGCUGGUUCUCCCCGAAAGCUAUUUAGGUAGCGCCUCGUGAACUCAUCUUCGGGGGUAGAGCACUGUUUCGGCUAGGGGGUCAUCCCGACUUACCAACCCGAUGCAAACUGCGAAUACCGAAGAAUGUUAUCACGGGAGACACACGGCGGGUGCUAACGUCCGUCGUGAAGAGGGAAACAACCCAGACCGCCAGCUAAGGUCCCAAAGUCAUGGUUAAGUGGGAAACGAUGUGGGAAGGCACAGACAGCCAGGAUGUUGGCUUAGAAGCAGCCAUCAUUUAAAGAAAGCGUAAUAGCUCACUGGUCGAGUCGGCCUGCGCGGAAGAUGUAACGGGGCUAAACCAUGCACCGAAGCUGCGGCAGCGACACUAUGUGUUGUUGGGUAGGGGAGCGUUCUGUAAGCCGUUGAAGGUGGCCUGUGAGGGUUGCUGGAGGUAUCAGAAGUGCGAAUGCUGACAUAAGUAACGAUAAUGCGGGUGAAAAACCCGCACGCCGGAAGACCAAGGGUUCCUGUCCAACGUUAAUCGGGGCAGGGUGAGUCGACCCCUAAGGCGAGGCCGAAAGGCGUAGUCGAUGGGAAACAGGUUAAUAUUCCUGUACUUGGUGUUACUGCGAAGGGGGGACGGAGAAGGCUAUGUUGGCCGGGCGACGGUUGUCCCGGUUUAAGCGUGUAGGUGUGUGUUCCAGGUAAAUCCGGAAUGCUUUAACACUGAGGCGUGAUGACGAGGCACCACGGUGCUGAAGUGACAAAUGCCCUGCUUCCAGGAAAAGCCUCUAAGCAUCAGGUAACACGAAAUCGUACCCCAAACCGACACAGGUGGUCAGGUAGAGAAUACCAAGGCGCUUGAGAGAACUCGGGUGAAGGAACUAGGCAAAAUGGUGCCGUAACUUCGGGAGAAGGCACGCUGAUAUGUAGGUGAAGUGAUUUACUCAUGGAGCUGAAAUCAGUCGAAGAUACCAGCUGGCUGCAACUGUUUAUUAAAAACACAGCACUGUGCAAACACGAAAGUGGACGUAUACGGUGUGACGCCUGCCCGGUGCCGGAAGGUUAAUUGAUGGGGUUAUCCGUAAGGAGAAGCUCUUGAUCGAAGCCCCGGUAAACGGCGGCCGUAACUAUAACGGUCCUAAGGUAGCGAAAUUCCUUGUCGGGUAAGUUCCGACCUGCACGAAUGGCGUAAUGAUGGCCAGGCUGUCUCCACCCGAGACUCAGUGAAAUUGAACUCGCUGUGAAGAUGCAGUGUACCCGCGGCAAGACGGAAAGACCCCGUGAACCUUUACUAUAGCUUGACACUGAACACUGGUCCUUGAUGUGUAGGAUAGGUGGGAGGCUUUGAAGUGUGGACGCCAGUCUGCAUGGAGCCGACCUUGAAAUACCACCCUUUAAUGGCUGGUGUUCUAACGUGGGCCCGUGAUCCGGGUUGCGGACAGUGUCUGGUGGGUAGUUUGACUGGGGCGGUCUCCUCCCAAAGAGUAACGGAGGAGCACGAAGGUUAGCUAAUCCUGGUCGGACAUCAGGAGGUUAGUGCAAAGGCAUAAGCUAGCUUGACUGCGAGAGUGACGGCUCGAGCAGGUGCGAAAGCAGGUCUUAGUGAUCCGGUGGUUCUGAAUGGAAGGGCCAUCGCUCAACGGAUAAAAGGUACUCCGGGGAUAACAGGCUGAUACCGCCCAAGAGUUCAUAUCGACGGCGGUGUUUGGCACCUCGAUGUCGGCUCAUCACAUCCUGGGGCUGAAGUAGGUCCCAAGGGUAUGGCUGUUCGCCAUUUAAAGUGGUACGCGAGCUGGGUUUAGAACGUCGUGAGACAGUUCGGUCCCUAUCUGCCGUGGGCGCUGGAGAAUUGAGGGGGGCUGCUCCUAGUACGAGAGGACCGGAGUGGACGCAUCACUGGUGUUCGGGUUGUCAUGCCAAUGGCACUGCCCGGUAGCUAAAUGCGGAAGAGAUAAGUGCUGAAAGCAUCUAAGCACGAAACUUGCCCCGAGAUGAGUUCUCCCUGACCCUUUAAGGGUCCUGAAGGAACGUUGAAGACGACGACGUUGAUAGGCCGGGUGUGUAAGCGCAGCGAUGCGUUGAGCUAACCGGUACUAAUGAACCGUGAGGCUUAACCUU
rnacentral:rRNA from 1 species